UAACGCAAGGCUUUGCCCUCUUAAUCCUUGGAAACGGAAGCUAGUUAUCACACGGAAGCGGCCUCUCGUGCUGCCCCGUGUUAGCUCGGUGGUUGAACGUAAUGGUCCCUCCGCGUUCUCCCCUUCUCAGUCUCUACUCCAGAACCCAUCACCUUCCACCCCACGCGGAGGAUGGGUGUUUACGGUACGUAGAAAGUGUCUACUUUGUAUCGUGCAUUGCAGACACAAUAGUCAGCAAAACAGUUAUUAAUGAAGUCGUUGUAUAAAUAUAUAAUUAUAACCAUGUUAAAAUCUACCAGGAAAAAGCACUGCUCUCCCAGGUUGGGUGAUGGUGUCAGAGAAGACGACCCAGAGAUGGUCUCAGAUCCAGAUCCAAGGGCUCAGAGACUAGCAUGUCCAAAGGCCCCCAAAGAAGCAAGGGUUUGGAGACAGGAAAGAGGAUGAGCAGGGGUGCAGAAGGGCCUUUCUCAGAGCUGGAGCAAGGGCUGUGUGUAGUGUACAGAACGAUGUGGGGAGGUCCCAGCUUGGGCCCGGGCGACACUCCUGAGACAGGUGGGGAGCAGAUGCAGGGCUGCGGUGGAGGAGCGUGGGGGAAGGAGGUACAAAUCUGAGCCAUCAGUGUGUGGUACUGAAAGCCCUGAGUGAGAGUGAGAACAGAGUAAGAUGAAACGAGCCCUGACAAACGCAGCUGGAGAAAAAUGAACUGGCAAAGGAGAAAAGCAAAGGCAGUAGAGGAAGAUGUGGGGGUCACAUAAGCACGCCCUGCAGUUGCUUUUUUCCCCCAACACUUAAAACCUAGUGAGGUGCUCCUCUGUAGUUCUAAAAUACACAGAAUUGGUUCUUCCCAUGUUUCUCCCAGCUCCCAAAUGAGACAGUUCUCUAACUGUUGUCACAGGGAAAAGCAAGCACCAGGUCAUAGUUGUAACCCGGAAUGGUGCCGCAGGACGAACGGCAGAUGGGCACAGUGCUCUGAAAGGCCAGCCGGUCCACUGCAAACUCGUAGGCCUGGAUCAGCCCCCGGUGUCUAGAGAAAGCACAGAGACGGCGGCAGGGUCAGUCCUGGUCCCCAGCCCCCCAGUGACUUCUGUCUUUGCAGCAGGGACGUGCUGGAGACAGGAGAGCGAGUCAUCGUGACACACGUCUGCUUCGGCCCCACAGUGUGUUAUGGAUGCUUCAGAUCCCGCGACUAGAGACCAACAGCGGAGCACUGAGCCAGGAGACACAGGAUAAGAAAGAUGUCUAAUGCAAGCAGAUGCCUGCCAUCAGAGGGAUUCCCAACUGUUAAGAAGGGUUCCAGUGAGGACCACGUGGUAACGUGUGGACAGCACUCGCACAGUACCUGGCUCAGUGGCUGACUGAUGCCAUCAUUGCUGCUACUGUGGUUACUGGAAGCACCUGAAGACCCACCUUACCUGGAGUGCACCUCCCACAGCUUCUGGUUCAUCCGAUAAUCCCACACGGAGACCAGGCCCUCCUCGCCCCCGCUGACAAUCUUCCAGUCGUCCAUCUGGACUGAAGAGACUCCGAGCUGGUGGGCAGAGAUGGACAGGGCGAUCGUGUCAGUGCGGAGGUCGUGGAUCCUCACCCUGCAGGGCCAGAGAUGAGCGCAGAGAUUAGCAUUAGAGCCUGAAAUGACGAAUUCCUCCUCAGCCAUCCUGGUCUGUGUACAGCAACCCUAUGAAAACAGAGUAUGAAACCCCUCAGUUACGAACAUCUAAAUACUGAUACUAAACUUUCGCCACCUCCUUAGUGUACUCUCAGGGGAGGCCAAGAGGCAGUAGAAAUGAACUAGUUUAGAGCACUCCCCACCGUUCAAAGCACAGAAUAAGGAGGACUCAGAACAGAUACACUGGCUGCCCUGCUGCUCACUUCAGGGGAGACGCCUGCCCUGGGCACAAGCCCAUUGCGAUGGAGGCUGACCUGACUGCCAUGGGGACGUCGGCCUGAGAAGGCUGUCCAGAGGACGCUGCCAUGUUGUUUAAGGAACAAGAACUCGUUCAUGACGGGGAGGGGCACCCAGAGGCCUUCACAAGGAAAAAGGAGAAGCACUUAGAAGACAUCUCCUCAAGAAGGCACUGCUCUGGUUUCUGGCUGACAGAAAGAGAUAGCACGCAGCGCGGGGUGCGAAGUCCACGCGAACUCUUCGAGUUCACAUCAUGAAAUGCAUCUCUGCUUCACACACCUGACGGCGCGGCCCCAGCGUGCACAGCAGCGUUCCCUGGCAGAGCCCAUACCCUCAGCGCUCAAAUCAAAUUCCUGACGUGGGGAAACAGGUAGCACAGCAAAUGGGCACAAACAUGCCAAGACAACUGAUUCCAGGGACAAAAAGAAGCCAAUGGUAGACACUGCGACUCCCUAUCCAGCGUGUGUUUCAUCAACUUCGCCCGUUGAAAAGAAAAAAAUAAUUGGUCUGAAAGCUGUAAUUGUAUUAUGUUUAAUAUUCAUGGUUGGGUUUGGAGGGCUGUUCCAACACUCCCUCUCUCCAGCCCCUCUCUAAUGAAAAUCACACCAUAGGAGUCAGCUCAAGCCCGCCAAUUAAAACAAAAGACACCGGAACCUUCCAAAGACUCCAACAGAGGAGCAUCCAUCAGAUGGGCAGGAAAACGUGCUGGAACUGAGAGGGAGGCACGCGCUGGCUGGUCCUGUGCUGAGAGCUUUGAAUAACUUAUUACAACACUUGCAGAUGGAGCAAAUGUAACAUUUACGCCCCACUCACUCUCCCUAACGGGCAGCAGCAGCACCAGAAGCCACCACAACUCUGCAUUUGUCAAGGCGAGAAGCUCCGACACUCUCUAAUUAGGGGUCACAACUCAGAGCUUGCUUCCCAUUGGUUUGGAUACAAUAGUCCCAUAAAAUAAUAAGGCAAACUGUAUUUGAUGGCAAAGAUGAAGCCUGUUCAGGCUCUGGCUCAGCAGUUUCAUUAAGAAGGACCUGACCUUCAGCUGUAUUUCUAUCCAGAAAAUAAAGGGAACAAGCAAGACGGCAUUAAAACAGUCUCUCUUUUUUUAAAUGACCAAAUUAAUCAAGAAAACUCAUUUUUUUUUAAGAAAUCAAUAACAUGAUUGUUUUGUCUCAUCGAACCUAUAUUAAAGAGGAUUUUUAAAAACAACGUUAUAUGCCCAAAUUAGUAGCUAUAACAUAUAUACAGCACCAAUGAUGGCCUUUGGUGAACGAUUCAUUUUUAAUAGCAACUAGAAAGACAUGUAUUUUCAGGUAGAACUGCCCAGUUUAAUCCAAGUAGGCUAUGGUUAGAGCUCUAUGUAUUGUAAAGCUGUAUCUCUGAAGUUUAGAGUUCUUUGUUUAUUGCCCAUAAAGAGUAAUAAGCCCCUUGGACUGAUCACUCGACCUUUCUGGACCUGUUUCCUUAGCUGGGCCAGCUAUUAGAUGGUCUUAAAGAGCUCUGCUAGACCGAAAAUUCUGCAACCCUUACAAGCCAGCCCAUACCACCACCAGUGGACAAAAAUGAUGUAUGGAAACAGAAACAUUCAGCUUACUUUAAUAAAUCCUUUUAAAUUUCAAUCAGAUGAGUGUACCUAGAAUAAGCUCUCUAUUUUAUGGUCAACUGAUUUUCAACAGUGGUGCCAAGACAACUCAAUGGGGAAAAAAUAGUCUUUUCAACAGAUGAUGCUAGGACAAUGGGUAUCUACAUGUAAAAAAGAAUGAGGUUGGACUCCCACCUCACACCAUAUACAAAAAUUAACUCCAAAUGCAUCAUAGACCUCAGUGUAGGAGCCAAAAGCGUAAAAAUUCUUUUAAGUAAACAUAGGAGUAAAUCUUUGUGACUCUGGGCUAGGAAAUGGCUUCUUCAAUAUGAUAUGAUAUUGCUAUAUGAUACCAAUAGCACAAAUGACAAAGAAAAACUGGAUAAAUGGAAUUUCAUCAAAAUUUAAAACUUCUGUGCUUCAAAGGACAUUAUCAAGUGUGAAAAGACAACCCAUAGAAUGGGGAGAAAUAUUUACAAGUCAUAUCUGAUAAGAGGUUGGUAUCCAGACUAUACAAAGAACUCCUGCAACUCAAUAAAUAAAAAGACAACCUAAUUAAAAAAUGGGCCAAGGAUUUGAAUAGACAUUUAUCCAAAGAGGCCAAAAAGCACAUGAAAGGAUGUUCAACAACAUCAUACCUUUAGGACAGCUAUAAUCAGAGACCAUAGCAAGUACUGGUAAGGAUGUGGAGAAACUGGAACCCCCAUACACUGCUGGUGGGAAUUGUAAGAUGGUACAGUCACUUUGGAAAAGAGUCUAGCAGUUCCUCAAACAGUUAAACAUAGGGUUAUAUAAGCCAGCAAUGCCACUCCUAGGUAUAUAUCCAAGAGAACUGAAAAUAUAUGUCUACACAAAAAUCUGUAGUUGAAUGGUAACAGCAGCAUUAUUCAUAAUAACCAAAAAAUGGAAACAACCCAAAUGUUAACUGAUGAAUGAAUAAGUAAAUGUGGUAUACCCAUACAAUGGAAUAUUACUUGGCCAUAAAAAGGAAUUAAGUGGUGAUUCAAGCUACAACACAGGUUUAUCUUGGAAACAUUAUGCUAAGUGGAAGAAGCCAGUCACAAAAAGUCACACGUUCUAUGAUUCCAUUUAUAUGAAGUAUCUAAAACAGAUCCGUAGAGGCAGGAAGUGAUUAGUGGUUGCCUAGAGCUAGAGAAGUUGUGGGGACAUGGAGAGUGACUGCUAAUGGGCACAAGGUUUCUAUUUGGGGUGAUGAAAAUGUUCUAAACCUGACUUGGUGAUGACUGCACAACCUUGUGAACUUUACACUGGAUUGUAUAAUUUA